AUGGAUAAUGAUCUAAUGUGGAUUUUCAUUAUGUCUAUUUUUCAAGGUGUCAAAGGCGAGAUUCAGUUAGUGGCAUCUGGGGGAGAAGUAAGACAGUCUGGGACAUCUCUGCACCUCUCCUGUAAAGCCUCUGGAUUCUCAUUUAGUAGUUAUGACAUGAACUGGGUCCGGCAGCCUGCAGGGAAGGGACCAGAGUGGAUCUCAGGAAUUGAUACCAAUGGAGAUCGUAAAAAUUAUUUGGACUCCAUAAAAGGUCGAUUCACUAUUUCUAGGGACAAUCUGAAUAGCAUUUUAUUCUUGCAAAUGAAUGACUUGAAAGUUGAGGACACAGCUGUGUAUUACUGUGUGAGAACUGCUGCAGAACCCAUUGCUUUUGAAGAUAUAAUUCCAACAGCACACAGUGUUUGA